GGGGCUGACCGGUAUUGACAGUAAGUGUGAAUAACGGGCUCGCAUGCAGGCCGGAGUAUGUACGGCCUUGAACCAUUCAUACAAACCAUAAUUGGCGAAUCUAAUUACGCCAUGGCAGCAUAAUCUAGCCUAAUAGGAUAGAUCGCUUAAAGGGUUGAGUUCCCAAACGGAAUUCCCCGGCCACAUCUCCCCACCCUCUGUCCUUUCGGGGUGGAUUUUGAGGUGUCGACAGAUGGGACUGCUGCUCAGGAUGUGAUUAACUGGGCCUAAGAUUUAAUCGCUAAGCCGGUGCAAGGCGUGUCAUCCGCCAUAAUCCGGUCGAAAACCAAUCGAUGACUAAGCAUGUAGACGGUACGGUGUUUCCUUAUCUGGACGCGAGUUCGAAUCUCGCCAGCUCCACUU
rnacentral:tmRNA from 1 species